rnacentral:misc_RNA from 1 species
GGGCUGUGAGCGCUGAGG